rnacentral:rRNA from 1 species
UACAGAGGGUGCAAGCGUUAAUCGGAAUUACUGGGCGUAAAGCGUGCGUAGACGGUUAUGUAAGUCAGAUGUGAAAGCCCCGGGCUCAACCUGGGAAUUGCAUUUGAGACUGUGUAGCUAGGGUGCGGAAGAGGGAAGCGGAAUUUCCGGUGUAGCGGUGAAAUGCGUAGAUAUCGGAAGGAACACCAGUGGCGAAAGCGGCUUCCUGGUCCAGCACCGACGUUCAGGCACGAAAGCGUGGGGAGCAAACGGG